GGUUGGAGGGAUCGAAAGGCCUGAAAUGGCUCAAGUUGUGCUAUUGAGGCAAAAAUCGACACCCGUGAGCUGGAUUUCUCGUCGACCUUCGAGGGAGCGGCGGAGGUGAGCCUCAGAUAGAUGACUGAUGCUUGAACGAAGAAUGGACUGACUCAUCACGAGGCUACUCUCUUUCAGUUGCCAUGCCAAACCCACCAUUUCAUCCGUCAGAGCCUCUUGAAGCUUUCUGUUGAAAAGGAAAAGCAGCCACAAAGUAAGCUGAAGGUUCAAUGUGGACGAUGGGAAAACGAGCUUGAAGGAAAAAGAAGCCUAGACACACUCGGGGAGGGGAUUGUAACUCGCCAACUAAAUCACACUCUACUUUUAAGCCCAAGAAAGUUUAAACUGAUUCAACCUUAGAGCCAUAUGCUAGUCUCACAGCAUAUCUUCUUCAACCUUACUUGACACCAGAGUCCAGAAAUUUUACUCUUUUCUGUUAUGAUGUCGUUCAGUAUGUAUCAUUUCAACAUAUCUUCAUACCUGACCAGAUUCUUAGAUCCUUCCC